CCUACGGGAGGCAGCAGUCGAGAAUCAUUCACAAUGGGGGAAACCCUGAUGGUGCGACGCCGCGUGGGGGAAUGAAGGUCUUCGGAUUGUAAACCCCUGUCAUGUGGGAGCAAAUUAAAAAGAUAGUACCACAAGAGGAAGAGACGGCUAACUCUGUGCCAGCAGCCGCGGUAAUACAGAGGUCUCAAGCGUUGUUCGGAAUCACUGGGCGUAAAGGGUGCGUAGGCUGUUUCGUAAGGCGGGUGUGAAAGGCGCGGGCUCAACCCGCGGACGGCACAUGAGACUGCGAGACUAGAGUAAUGGAGGGGGAACCGGAAUUCUCGGUGUAGCAGUGAAAUGCGUAGAUAUCGAGAGGAACACUCGUGGCGAAGGCGGGUUCCUGGACAUUAACUGACGCUGAGGCACGAAGGCCAGGGGAGCGAAAGGGAUUAGAUACCCUUGUAGUC
rnacentral:rRNA from 1 species